rnacentral:rRNA from 1 species
UACGUAGGGGGUAAGCGUUAUCCGGAUUUACUGGGUGUAAAGGGGGCGCAGACGGCAGCGCAAGCCAGGAGUGAAAGCCCGGGGCCCAACCCCGGGACUGCUCUUGGAACUGCGCGGCUGGAGUGCAGGAGGGGCAGGCGGAAUUCCUGGUGUAGCGGUGAAAUGCGUAGAUAUCAGGAGGAACACCGGUGGCGAAGGCGGCCUGCUGGACUGCGACUGACGUUGAGGCCCGAAAGCGUGGGGAGCAAACAGG